rnacentral:rRNA from 1 species
GUAUUCCGCUCCAUAGCGUAUAUUAAAGUUGCUGCAGUUAAAAAGCUCGUAGUUGAAUUUCGGAACCAAUAUGUUGGUUGUGCCUCGGUACGUACUGGCAUUGUUGGUUUCUCCCUUCUGACGAACUAUGAUGUCAUUAAUUUGGUGUCAUGGGGAAUCAGGACUGUUACUUUGAAAAAAUUAGAGUGUUUAAAGCAGGCUCACGCUUGAAUACAUUAGCAUGGAAUAAUGAAAUAGGACGUUUGAUUCUAUUUUGUUGGUUUCUAGGAUUGACGUAAUGAUUAAUAGGGAUAGUUGGGGGCAUUAGUAUUCAAUUGUCAGAGGUGAAAUUCUUGGAUUUAUUGAAGACUAACUACUGCGAAAGCAUUUGCCAAGGAUGUUUUCAUUAAUCAAGAACGAAAGUUAGGGGAUCGAAGACGAUCAGAUACCGUCGUAGUCUUAACCAUAAACUAUGCCGACUAGGGAUCGGAUGAUGUUAAUUUUUUAAUGACUCAUUCGGCACCUUACGGGAAAC